GGCUCGAUGCUGCAGAGGUAGCGCACUCCGCACUGUUCACCCCAGUGUUUGAACAUUUCGGAGAGACCCGGAGUUCGAUCCUCCAUUGAGCCA